UUUCCCCAUUUCAACCUGAAUAUUGGUGGGGACAUUUCAGUCGUAAUUUGACAUUGGUGUGGACACGUCCUUCAGUCCCAACGCAAAUCUACGCCCCUGAAUAACAGAGACCCU